rnacentral:rRNA from 1 species
UACGUAGGGUGCGAGCGUUGUCCGGAAUUAUUGGGCGUAAAGAGCUCGUAGGCGGCUUGUUGCGUCGGAUGUGAAAGCCCGGGGCUUAACCCCGGGUCUGCAUUCGAUACGGGCAGGCUGGAGUGCGGUAGGGGAGAUCGGAAUUCCUGGUGUAGCGGUGAAAUGCGCAGAUAUCAGGAGGAACACCGGUGGCGAAGGCGGAUCUCUGGGCCGUUACUGACGCUGAGGAGCGAAAGCGUGGGGAGCGAACAGG